UCUUCCUGUCUUCUGCCUGCAGCUAGCUGACGUGGUGGACAGUGAGGCGCUGCAGGUAUACAUGAAACCCCCAGCACACGAAGAGGCCAAGGCACCUUCCAGAGGCUUUGUGGUGCGGGACGCACCCUGGACCGCCAGCAGCAGUGAGAAGGCUCCUGACAUGAGCAGCUCUGAGGAAUUUCCCAGCUUUGGGGCUCAGGUGGCUCCCAAGACCCUCCCUUGGGGCCCCAAACGAUAAUGAUCAAAAAGAACAGAACCCUCUCCAGCCUGCUGACCCAAACCCAACCACACAAUGGUUUGUCUCAAUCUGACCCAGCGGCUGGACCCUCCGUAAAUUGUUGACGCUCUUCCCCCUU
rnacentral:lncRNA from 1 species